CACCUGAAGGGAAGUGUCGAAGACGACGAGUUUGGAGCUGGUGGGGAUGAGGUCGUAGCAGCGGUGUGACUUCAUGAAGGCGGUGUAGGCGCCACGGAGGGGCUCCCCUUCCGCUCCCGGGGCGCUGCGCUCCGCCGGGCUCUCCGCGGCCGGACCGGGGCCGGGCUCCUCCAUGGCCCCGGGUCCGCCGCCGCUGCCGCCACCACCGCCCC
rnacentral:lncRNA from 1 species